CCAAUAGCGUAUAUUAAAGUUGUUGCAGUUAAAAAGCUCGUAGUUGAACUUCGGGAUCAAUGAAUCGGUCAUGCUUUCGUAUGUACUGGUUUUAUUGGUUCUCACCUUCUAAGGAACCUUAAUGUCAUUCAUUUGAUGUUUUGGGGAAUUAGGACUGUUACCUUGAAAAAAUUAGAGUGUUUAAAGCAGGCUAACGCUUGAAUACAUUAGCAUGGAAUAAUGAAAUAGGACAUCGCAUUCUAUUUUGUUGGUUUCUAGGAUCGAUGUAAUGAUUAAUAGGGAUAGUUGGGGGCAUUAGUAUUCAAUUGUCAGAGGUGAAAUUCUUGGAUUUAUUGAAGACUAACUACUGCGAAAGCAUUUGCCAAGGAUGUUUUCAUUAAUCAAGAACGAAAGUUAGGGGAUCGAAGACGAUCAGAUACCGUCGUAGUCUUAACCAUAAACUAUGCCGACUAGGGAUCGGAUGAUGUUGAUUUUUUAAUGACUCAUUCGGCACCUUAC
rnacentral:rRNA from 1 species